rnacentral:rRNA from 1 species
AUUGAACGCUGGCGGCAGGCCUAACACAUGCAAGUCGCACGAGUGGCGGACGGGAGAGUAAUGUCGGGGAAACUGACUGAUGGAGGGGGAUAAUUACUGGAGACGGUCGCUAAUACCGCAUACAAUAAGAUGUGGCCAGAUGGGAUUAGCCUGUUGGUGGGGUAACGGCUCACCAAGGCGACGAUCCCUAGCUGGUCUGAGAGGAUGACCAGCCACACUGGAACUGUGACACGGUCCAGACUCCUACGGGAGGCAGCAGUGGGGAAUAUUGCACAAUGGGCGCAAGCCUGAUGCAGCCAUGCCGCGUGUAUGAAGAAGGCCUUCGGGUUGUAAAGUACUUUCAGCGGGGAGGCGUUACCCGCAGAAGAAGCACCGGCUAACUCCGUGCCAGCAGCCGCGGUAAUUC